GCAGGCUGCAAAAUAUGUCAAUGAUGAAGUCAAGGAGCAUAGUAAUGAAGAGGAUUGUGUUAUUAGUAGCCAGUCUUCCGAUAAACUCAGAUGUCCUAAAAGUCAGUGGCCUUGUGACUCAUUCCAAAGUAAAGAUGGUCAAUGCACAAAUGGGGAUGACAUGUCUGAUGUCGAGACCGGUAGUCACAUCUUCAGAGGUUUCCAAGUCAACCUCAAAGAGGCAUGUAGUAAAUCAUUCACAGUCUUGUUUUUUUUUUUUUUUAGUAAGAAUGAUUUUAUUUUUAGUAAGAAUGAUUUUAUUUUUAGUAAGAAUGAUCCCAUGACUUAUCACGUAAAUUUGUAAUGGUUCCAGUAUCUGCACUAAAAUCUAGACACAAGAAACAUUUCCAUUUUUCUAAUAAGAUGUAUAUUUGAGAUGGACUAACAAUUUUAUUGCCAAUAAAAUGAAUUUCGAUAGUUCAAGCGACACACAUAAACAGUGGAUUUUUAUAAAUCUCGUCCGGUCAUCAUCGCCUUUAGCAUCCCAUCAAGAUCAUGUGAACAGCAUAAAGGAUAAUAAAUAUUUGAUUUUCCAACCUUUUUUUGAAUUGUCUCUAUUUGAUUAAAUGGAUAGGGCGUUAUGUUGAUUAAUACAAAUCCAUUAUCGAUAGUUGAACUUGUUUUGCGGAUCGGAAUCAUGCCUUUUUAUAUUCUUUUAACGGAUCUUUACCAUUUCUAAUACUGUUUUUGCUAUUUUGUUUGUUAACAGUGGGAGGAGAACAUUGACGAGUAUGUCAGUAUUCACUACAGUGAAGAUGUUGUAGACUUGAAACUGGAAUACCAAAAGGUAUGGACAGUAUUUUUAAGUCACCGUAGUCUGAUAUUCGGGGCAUGUUCUUUUUUAUCUGUUCGUCUGAUUGUUUGUCCGCAAAAACUUUAACCGUAGCCAUAAUUUUGGAAGGGUGGUGAUCGGGCUUCCAUAUUUCACAUUAUAUCAUGUAUUCCGUGUAAAAAGACCCUUUCAUAUCAAACCUUGUGUUUAACCUCCUGAUUUUGACCUUGAAGUUUGGCUAUACGGGGACAUCAGUGUCUCACAAACACAUCUUGUUGAUUGUUGUUUUAUGUCCGAUUUAAUUUUUUUUUUUUUGGGAUAUAGAACUGUAGUUGAAGUUGCACACAUUUUGACCCAUGUACAUGUAUGGACUUCAGGGUCGAAGCUAUUGUCUUUAUGAAUCAAAUUGUCUGACUUGUUUCAUACCGAUUGUUAAGUUCUUGGCACACUGAUUUUGACUACGUAUAACUUCGUUUACCUGAUCAAGGUAUAGGGCUCACGGUGGGUGUGACCGGUCGACAGGGGAUGCUUACUCCUCCCAGGCACCUCAUUCGACCUCUGGUAUAUACAGGGUUUCGUGGUUUUUUUUAUUUUUUAUUUACAAAUCCAAUUCUGGGCCCUGUCGGAUAUACAAGCUUAAGAAAAGAAGUUAUACAUACAUAUAUAUAUAUAUAUAUAUAUAUAUAUAUAUAAAAGCACUGAAAAGGCCACGACACUGUUGGUUAUUUAAAACUCAAAUUUUCGACGCAACCCGCGUCUUUAUCAAGAGACAUAAAUUACAUAAACAAAUAACACACAAAAACGACAAGUAUCGAUAAACUACAUUGGUGAGAAGAGUGAUACACUAUUGUACUGAGUGAUAAAAAUGGUGGUGGUUACGUUGUAAAGCGUGUUUACUGACUAUGGUUUAGAGAGUUUGUACCAUGGUCGGGUCGGGAUGAAAAUAAGAUUAUUCUUGAAAAAUUACAGAAAUCAGAAAAAUUUAGAGGGAAAUCUUACAAAACAAUGUGAUUAUGGAAUAAAAUGGUGGGAAGAUAAUGAUAUGGAGUGAUUAAGGUAGCAGGGGACAGUUUCGCACUAUAGGCCCGGUCAACUUUUUCAAAAAAUGGAAUUGCCCUGUAUUUGAAGUGAUAUUACAUGUGUAAAAAUGUAUACAAUAAUUUUAGGAUGCAUGUCAAAUGUAGCUGAGUGCUUAGUAAAAAUGUUGAUAUACAACAUGUAGGUGUCACCAUGAUUCCUAGCAUAUAGAUGGGUGCAAAUACGAAACUAAGACACGUGGUCAGUUGCUGAAGAAAUUCCGGUGAAAACAUGCAGGGUCUAGCAAAAGGUCUGUAGCUGUGAGGGAAGGUGGAUGGCCCCAUAUGAGAGGUGUCACCAUGAUUCCUAGCAUAUAGAUGGGUGCAAAUACGAAACUAAGACACGUGGUCAGUUGCUGAAGAAAUUCCGGUGAAAACAUGCAGGGUCUAGCAAAAGGUCUGUAGCUGUGAGGGAAGGUGGAUGGCCCCAUAUGAGAGGUAGAUUUUUGAGAAGGGCAGAUAGGGUUCUUGAUUGUGCACAGUGUCUAAAUCCCCAUGUUUGGUACUGUGAUGGUGUGGGGGUGGUGCGGAUUAGCCCAAAUGAGGGAAAAUCAAAGCAAAAAAGGGGAACCUGCUCAGAGCAUGUUUUGUGCACCAGCACCAGUAUUUAUAGAUUACAUGUAAUUUAGGGUCAUAAUUUAUUAACUACACUAAUAUGAAAUACAAGUAUUGACAUAAAAGGGAAAUAUGAUUUUUCAUUAGUCUGUCAUAAUCUGACUUUGGUGUAUACCCCCUAUCCACAUGUUUCAAAACCAAAGAAACUGUCCCCUGCCACCUAAGUUCAAAACAAUAUUAGGUAGUCCGUACCAUUGA